rnacentral:tRNA from 1 species
GAGGGUAUAACUCGGUGUAGAGUGUAUGCUUAGCAUGAAUGAGGCCCUGGGUUCAAUCCCCAGUACCUCCA